AACUUAACGUAAACAAAACCAAACAGGUACAAACUCGCCGAGGAGAAAUAAUGGACAAUCCGCGCCCAGACCCCUCUUUGGCAAAUCAACUGAACAUGUCGAAGGCUACGAUCUUGCCACAAGCUGCAUCAACGCAGAACGUUCCAAAGAAGGAACUUCUGCUUCACAAGGGUCACGUGAAAACAGCAACAAUUUAAAGCUAAGCGGGUGCAACUUGAUUUUGACAAGAUUGUAGAAGAUGACAACAUCAGCGACGACUUCGAUAUCGGCUCUUUGUAACCAAAGAGAAUAAGCAUGACAGACUCAUCACAUAUUGUGGUACGAUUAUAAAUUUCAUACAAAAACUAUUUUGCUUUAAUGAUAUCGAUUAAAUUCGAAACAAUUUGCUAUUCUAGAAAUUACUUGAAAAAAUAGGUGUCUUCGCAAAGCUACUUUGUCAAACAUUUUCAAAAAAUUAAAUCUGUCGAUUUAAAGAUUAUUGUAUUCCACGAAAGGUUAGGUCAAACCAUUAAGGCAGCAACAUUUAUUUUAUUCUGUCACAAUAAAGUUCAAGACACCAAACUAAUAGUCUCAAGUCCAGACCAAAUCUAAGUACUACUGUAAAGUUUAAGGAGUUGGAAAUAUACAUCCCAAAAUAAGCUGUGUAUAUUUGGUCAAGUUAGAAAUCACAUUUUGAAAGACUGAAACGUAAAGCAGCCAACUGAAAAUUCAAUUUACAUUUUUUGUUGCAUAAGGGCAAAAUCCUAGCCUAGACAUCAAAAUUCCUUACACUAACUGGAACAUUUAUUUUGGUUGUAACAACGUGUUACUAAAAAUGAUCAACUAGUGACUGACCUACGACUAGAAGGACCAACUAGUCUUUUAAAAAUGAACUGGACUAAUUACGAGCUGUAUGAUCAAGCGGACUCCAACGAAGCAAGUGUGGAUAUCAAAAAGCCAAGAAGUUGUUGGAGCUGAUAAACACAGAUGUGCGUGAUCCGCUUCCCACACAAUCGCUGGUGGGAUCAAAGUAUUUCCAGACUUUCAGUGACGACAAGUCCAGGAGGUUUUUGUGUUCUUCUAGCGCAGGAAGGACGAAGUGCUGUCGAAAUUCAAGGAGUUCCAGGUUCUGGUUGAGCGGCAACUUCGUCUUUGAAUUCGUCAACAAGGAAUUUGAUGACUUUCUGACUUUUUGACAACGGUAUCGCUAGGCAGCUUACUGUAGAGUAUAGCGUUCAGCAAAAUAGAAAUUAGUGGAAAUGUCUAGUUGUCUUCUCGUGGAGUCCGGAUUAGGUGAAUCCUUGUCGGCUGAGGGUGUUAACACAGCUUUUUAUUUGCGAAAUCGGACCGGUAAGAAGCCAUAUGUUAACCAUCAAAAGAUUUUUGGUUCAAUUGCAGUUGCCCUGGACAGGGGUCCACGCAGGGGGAGCAAAUUUCAACCUAAAGUCAAAAGGUAUACAGCAGCCAAAGGCUACCGUCUUUAUGAUUCAACUGCUCAGCUAGUAGUAGGCGAACGCGAUGUCCUAUUUGAUGAGCAUCAUGUUCUGGCAGCUGACGAUAAUAAGGCCCAUUUCGAUAUUUUUCCGGGGACCGAUAUGAUUUGUGGCAA